UCUCUCUUCCUUCGCCACUUUCUUUUCCUCUAAUUCCUUGCACCCAUCUAUUUCCAUCUUCUCUCAACCCUUGCUUCUCUUCCUCUCUCUCUCCCUUGUCCUUUGCUUUCUGGUUGUCUUUCUCUCACUACAUACUCUAAUCUCACUCUCCCUCUCAUCUCCAUCUUUCGUUUUUUUUUUUUUUGCUCUCAUUCUAUUUCUCCUGGUCUCUCAUCGCCAGCUUACACUCUUCCUUUCAGUUAAGGUUCUCUCUCUUCUCAGUGGCCUUCUAGCACCUAAUCCUCUGCUACUCCACCACCUAUCACAGCCGUUCACCUUCUUCCACCCUUCUGCAACCUCUCGCAGCACCGUCUCUCUUGAUCACCUGUUGCGACCACAACAGUCACCUCCGCCUUC
rnacentral:lncRNA from 1 species